UGUAUCUCUCAGCCCUCAUCAGCGAAGCUUCUUCUUGCAAUAGACGAUGAUUAAUGUGCUCACACUGAUCAAUGGGCAGAGAAUAAAAGGCUGUGGUGUAUUUACCUGCAAAUGUGACUAUCUAUAGCACACCCCUCCCUCCUCUGAGGCUCAGAGACCAUCUUGGAAGAGGAAGUAGCAAGACUGGAAAGACAAGAGGUAGUGAAUGUCUGCAGCAAACCGUAUCCUACAGAUAGGGAAAUCCUGUAUACAUGAACUCAUAGCUGCUGUGGUUACAUGUACGAGACCCGCAACAGAUAACUAUUUGUUUGCACUAGAAAAAAACAUGCCAGGUCAAGAACAGACCGUUAGAGGACAAUGCCUUCACCACUCUGGAUGAAACCAAGGAGGGGAACUACCUGUGAUCAGGACUUGUGGCCUCUGAGAUUUUUCAUAACAGCCUGGGAGCUAAAAAGACAUCUUCUUCACAAUAGCACCAACUCACGCUCUGUAGACCCAACAAUGGAUGUUUAUUGCGCCUUACAAAACUAAUUACCUUCAGAUUACAGGUUUUAUUCAA